rnacentral:tRNA from 1 species
CUGGGGAUCUAGCUCAGAGGUAGAGCACUUGCCUUACACACAUAAGGCCCUGGGUUCAAUCCCCAGCACCAGG